UGGCUCAGUUGGUAGAGCAUGGUGUUUGCAACGCCAGGGUAGUGGGUUCAAUUCCCAC
rnacentral:tRNA from 1 species